rnacentral:rRNA from 1 species
AUGGCAUCUGGAGUGAAUGGAAUUGAUUUGAGAGAUGGUAUCUGCAUGGCAGUUGAUGAUGUCAUGAGAAACCUGAAGAACAUGGCCCGAAUGAUAAACACUUUCCAGGAAAUAGCACAGGUGGGUACCAUAUCAGCUGAUGGGGAGAAAGAACUUGGCGAGCUCAUUGCAAAUGCUAUUGUGAUGGUUGAUAAGGAGGAAAUUAUCACCAUUGUGGAUGGUAGCACUCGAUGCAGCGAGCUUCAAGUUGUGAAAUGCAUAAAGCUUGAGAGAGGCUACUUCACUCAACACUUUAUUACCAACCAAAAGUACAAAACAUGUGAACUAGAUGAUCCCUUAAUCUUCAUACAUGAUCAGAUGGUAUCCAAUGUUCAAGCCAUCAAAGUGUUGGAGUUUGCUAUCACGGAAGGAAGGCCUCUGCUUAUUCUUGCAGAAGAUGUAGAUGCUAAAGCAAUAAAAACUAUGGUCGCUGAAAAAUAUAUUAAAGGCAUGAAGGUCUGCGCGGUCAAAGUUCCUGGUCAUGGAGAGAACAUGGAACUCAAUUUACUUGCUAUCGUUACAGGCGGGCAAAUCUUUACUGAAGAAAAUGGAAUGAACCUUUUGCCUCACACACUUGGCACUUGUAAGAAGGUCAUAGUAUCUGAGGAUGACUGCACAAUCUUUGGUGGAGCCGCCGAUGAUAAUACCAUCGAGAACAGAACUAAGCAGCUGGGAUCUGCAACUGAGAAAAGCACGGGAUUGGCAGAAAUGUAUUGUCGUGCUGCUAUUAUGAAGAUUGGUGGAAUGGAUAAGCUGGAGAUUGGUGAGAAGAAAGACAGAGCGAUACAUGCACUAAAUGCAACGAAAGCUGCAGUUGAGGAGGGCAUUGUACCAGGUGAUGGUGUUGCCCUGGUUUAUGCGGCAAAAGACCUGGAUAAGCUGGACACUGCAAAUGUUGGCCAAAAGAGCGGUGUUCAGAUUAUUCAAAAUGUCUUGAAGAUACCAUUUCACACCAAUGCUUCAAGUGCUGGUCAUGAUGGUGAUGACAUUCUUAGCAAGAUCUUAGAGCAGAACAAUACUGGCCUGGCAUAUGAUGCUGCCAAAGGUGAAUAUGCCGAUAUGCUGGAGGCCGGUUCCAUUGAGCCACUUAAAGUGAUCAGAACAGCCCUGAUGGAUGUCCAACGAGAGUCAUGUCAAAUGUUAACUGACACAGACGGCCACUUGAGCCCGAAGGAAAGAACGCAGAACAAGCAAUUUGCGGUGCCAUGA